rnacentral:rRNA from 1 species
UACGAAGGGAGCUAGCGUUGUUCGGAAUCACUGGGCGUAAAGCGCACGUAGGCGGAUGUGUCAGUCAGGGGUGAAAUCCCGGAGCUCAACUUCGGAACUGCCUUUGAUACAGCACGUCUUGAGUCCGGAAGAGGUGGGUGGAGUUCCUAGUGUAGAGGUGAAAUUCGUAGAUAUUAGGAAGAACACCGGUGGCGAAGGCGGCCCACUGGUCCGGUACUGACGCUGAGGUGCGAAAGCGUGGGGAGCAAACAGG